rfam:Gossypium hirsutum cultivar TM-1 unplaced genomic scaffold scaffold3177.1, whole genome shotgun sequence
UAUUAAAAUUUUUAUCCCUUUGUAAUGUUAAAAAUUGAUGUGGUUGGAUGAAUAAUCGAAUAGUGACACAUAACAUACCACAUGUAUCUCAUGCUGAUGUAUAGGAACAGUUUUUAACAGUAGAAAUGAAAAGAAAUUUUAACA